CACCAAAUAGCUAGCCCCCUAGACAACUUCAACACACCACUAUUAAUACCCCUAAAUACACAAGUUAAGAUUUAACAAAUCAUUUUUCCCCCUGAGUAUGGGCGACAGAAAAGGGCCAAAGGCGCGAUAGAGAUAGUACCGCAAGGGACCACUGAAAGAGAAAUGAAAUAACCCAGUAAAGUACCAAAAAGCAGAGCUAAACUCUCGUACCUUUUGCAUCAUGAUUUAGCCAGUGAUUUUCAAGCAAAAGGACUUUUAGUUUGUGAACCCGAAACUAGGGGAGCUACUCCAAGACAGCCUAAUAAUAGGGCAAACCCGUCUCUGUUGCAAAAGAGUGGGGCGAGCUUUGAGUAGAGGUGACAGACCUACCGAACCUAGUUAUAGCUGGUUGCCCAAGAAAUGAAUAGUAGUUCAGCUUUACGGCUUCUCCCUUCUCAUCAGUAUAUGCCACCCCUGAUACUUUAAGAAACCUUAAAAGUUAUUCAAAAGGGGUACAGCCCUUUUGAAACAAGACACAACUUUCCCAGGAGGGUAAAGAUCAUAAUUACACAAGGUAAUUGACCUUGGUGGGCUCGAAAGCAGCCACCCCUUAAGAAAGCGUCUAAGCUCGCAAGAAUGUUACCCCUCCCCCAAUUCUGAUCAUCUUAUCUUACCCCCCUAAAUUUAUUGGGCCGCCCCAUGCCAACAUGGGGGUGACCAUGCUAAUAUGAGUAAUAAGAAAGCUAUGGCUUUCUCCCCGCACACAUGUAGAUCGGAGUGGACCCCCCCCACCGAAAAUUAACGGCCCCAAUCACAGAGGGCAGUGGACUACAAACGAAACAACGAGAAAAUUCUCCAACCGCCAACCGUUAACCCAACACAGGUGUGCCCCUAGGGAAAAACUAAAAGGGGGAGAAGGAAUUCGGCAAACACAUAAAGCCUCGCCUGUUUACCAAAAACAUCGCCUCUUGCAAAUAAUGAAUAAGAGGUCCCGCCUGCCCUGUGACUAUUAGUUUAACGGCCGCGGUAUUUUGACCGCGCGAAGGUAGCGCAAUCACUUGUCUCUUAAAUGGAGACCUGUAUGAAUGGCA
rnacentral:rRNA from 1 species